rnacentral:rRNA from 1 species
CCUACGGGAGGCAGCAGUCGAGAAUCAUUCACAAUGGGGGAAACCCUGAUGGUGCGACGCCGCGUGGGGGAAUGAAGGUCUUCGGAUUGUAAACCCCUGUCAUGUGGGAGCAAAUUAAAAAGAUAGUACCACAAGAGGAAGAGACGGACAACCCUGUGCCAGCAGCCGCGGUAAUAGAGAGGUCGCAAGCGUUGUUCGGUAUCACUGGGCGUAAAGGGUGCGUAGGCUGUUGCGUAAGUCGGGGGUGAAAGGCGCGGGCUCAACCCGCGGACGGCAAAUGAUAAUGCGAGACUAGAGAAAUGGAGGGGGAACCGGAAUUCUCGGUGUAGCAGUGAAAUGCGUAGAUAUCGGGAGGAACACUCGUGGCGUAGGCGGGUUCCUGGACAUUAACUGACGCUGAGGCACGAAGGCCAGGGGAGCGAAAGGGAUUAGAUACCCGAGUAGUC